UUGGCUGACUUCACCUGAAAGCCACUGC
rnacentral:piRNA from 1 species